rnacentral:rRNA from 1 species
CCAAUAGCGUAUAUUAAAGUUGUUGCAGUUAAAAAGCUCGUAGUUGAAUUUCGGGACCAUCAUGUCGGUCGUGCCUCGGUACGUACUGGCAUUGUUGGUUUCUCCCUUCUGACGAACCAUGAUGUCAUUUAUUUGGUGUUGUGGGGAAUCAGGACUGUUACUUUGAAAAAAUUGGAGUGUUUAAAGCAGGCUCACGCUUGAAUACAUUAGCAUGGAAUAAUGAAAUAGGACGUUUGAUUCUAUUUUGUUGGUUUCUAGGAUCGACGUAAUGAUUAAUAGGGAUAGUUGGGGGCAUUAGUAUUCAAUUGUCAGAGGUGAAAUUCUUGGAUUUAUUGAAGACUAACUACUGCGAAAGCAUUUGCCAAGGAUGUUUUCAUUAAUCAAGAACGAAAGUUAGGGGAUCGAAGACGAUCAGAUACCGUCGUAGUCUUAACCAUAAACUAUGCCGACUAGGGAUCGGAUGAUGUUAAUUUUUUAAUGACUCAUUCGGCGCCUUACG